rnacentral:rRNA from 1 species
CCUACGGGAGGCAGCAGUGAGGAAUAUUGGUCAAUGGGCUUACGCCUGAACCAGCCAAGUCGCGUGCGGGAAGACUGCCCUAUGGGUUGUAAACCUCUUUUGUCAGGGAGCAAUUGGCGCUACGUGUAGCGUUAUCGAGAGUACCUGAAGAAAAAGCAUCGGCUAACUCCGUGCCAGCAGCCGCGGUAAUACGGAGGAUGCGAGCGUUAUCCGGAUUUAUUGGGUUUUAAGGGUCAGUAGGCGGAAUGCAUAGUCAGGGGGAAAAUCGCGGGGCUAAACCUGACUGCGCCUUUGAAACUGGCGUUCUUGAGUGGGCGAGAAGUAGGCGGAAUGCGUGGUGUAGCGGUGAAAUGCAUAGAUAUCACGCAGAACUCCGAUCGCGAAGGCAGCAGACCGGCGCCCAACUGACGCUGAAGCACGAAAGCGUGGGUAUCGAACAGGAUUAGAUACCCGAGUAGUC